ACUGUGCAUGCAUAAGCCCCCAAAAGGCAAAAGCGCCCGAACACACGGCCCAAAGCCUCUAUGUGUGUCCCGACGGGCCCCAAAGGCCUCUAUCUCAUCUUAUCUGUAUCUCUUGUCUGUAUCUCUUUUCUCAUCUCAUAUUAUCUGUUUCUCUGUAUCUGGAGGGAAGGGUACUGUCUAAUGAUUUCAAAAAUAAUAUAUACAUAAACAUAGAAUCUCAUAUGAAAUCUCAUUUUCUUUCUAUUCAACAUAUCUCAAAAUCUGCUCAAUUCUAAUAUCAUGCCUUUACUAAAAAACGCUAAUAAAAUCAUUAAUCAAACUCAUUCUCAAUAACAAUAAAGACCGACACAUAGAUAAAAAUUAAUUUACCGGAAAAUCAUUUAAUCGAAGCAUUAAAUACUUAUCAUAAAAUCAGCAUAUACUAUGAAAAUAGGUUUUGUAUAUUCCACUCACAGUGAUGAUGUCUAGACUCGGUAUCAACAACGUCCGCGGGUUGAUUCUCGUUCGCGGAUGCGGAUCCUCCUAAUCACGGAAACACUAUAAUUAUUCUCUGUAAAUAGAAAUACAACCAAUUUAAUAUAAUAAAUCUCGAAUCCUAUUAACGAUAAACUAUUCCCACAUGAGUAAAAUUACCAAAAUACCCCCAACAUCAAUAUUUUACCAACUUAUCCUCAAACUUCAUUAUUUUACCAAAUUAUCCUCAUAUUCGUCAAUUACCAUAUUGUCCUCAAUCCAGAUUACAUAAAUUAAUCACAUUGUCCGAAAUUACGAAAUUACCCUCACAAUUUCACAAAGACAAAACUAAGCCCCAAACCCAAUCAGCUAACCCCAACCCAAAUUCAAACCCUAACAGGUGUCGAUCAUCCUCCACGCAUACCGCGUCUCGUUGUCUUAGCCCAUUACUUCGAUCCCCAAAUUUCCAAAUUCACAAAACAAAACAAACCCUGACAGCCGCAUCCUCUCUCGUACGGUUAUCCUUCUCGUUUUGGCAGCUCGUCUACGCCGCUCCACGUUAGCUGGGUCGGGUUUUCGGGUUAACAAGUCCAGCUCUCUCUCUCUCUCUCUCUCCCUCUCUCUCGGGUAUUCUCUCUCAAAAAAAUACAAACCUGUUUCCCCCCUUUUCCAGUUAUACAAUUCUGCCCUUUUUUUUUUUUUUUAAGCUUAAUACAAAUUAAGCUCAAUUCGGACCCGUGAUGAAAAUAAAAUCCGGCCAUCGGCGCGUGUAAUCGCGCUCAAUUAUUCUCGAUAAAAUGUCGUGACGAAAUUAAAAAAAAUUGAUAGCGAAGAGGAAAAUGAAAUCACUCACUUAAUUAAGAAAAUCGGAGUGCAUAUGUUACAAUCCUCCCCUCUUAUAAAAAUUUCGUCCUCGAAAUUUACACAUCUGUUGAGAAUAAGUGAGGGUAUUGAGCUCGCAUUAAGUCUUCACGUUCCCAAGUAGCCUCUUCUCUUGUGUGAUUCCUCCACAACACUUUUACUAGCGGAAUGGUUCUUGAACGCAAAACUUGGUGCUUCUGUUCUAGAAUUUCCACGGGCUCUUCUUCAUAACUCAAGUCUUCUUUCAACUCAAUUGGUUGUCUCGACAACACAUGACUAGGAUCAUACACAUACUUCCAGAGCAUCGAAACAUGAAAGACAUCGUGGAUUCUGGAUAACUCAGGUGGUAGAGCUAAUCGAUAUGCCAACGGACCAAUACGCUCCACAAUCUCAUAUGGUCCAAUGUAACGUGGACUCAACUUCCCGCGCUUACCAAAUCGAAGUACCCCUUUCCAAGGAGAUAUCCGCAUGAAAACCUUAUCACCUACUUCAAACUCAAGUUCCCGCCUACGCUUAUCUGCAUAGCUCUUUUGUCUGCUCUAGGCUGCCUUUAAUCUUUCCCGAAUAAGCUGUAUCUUCUCACUAGUAUUUUGAACCAAUUCGGGACCAAAAAGUUUCCGCUCUCCAACCUCAUCCCAACAUACGGGAGUUCUGCAUUUCCUGCCAUACAAGGCCUCAUAAGGUGCCAUCUCGAUACUAGCUUGAUAACUAUUAUUAUAAGCAAACUCCAUCAAGGGUAAAUAAAUGUCCCAACUACCCCUAAACUCCAAAAUACAAGCUCGUAACAUAUCCUCCAGGGUUUGAAUAGUACGCUCUGACUGACCAUCAGUCUGUGGGUGAAAAACUGUACUGAAGUUCAACUUGGUGCCUAAAGCCUUUUGCAAACUUGUCCAGUGGCCUCCCUGGUGAUCGUGGUUGGUCGGAAAUUGUUGCUGAAGAUGUGAAGAACCAGUUCCAAGUGGUGGCGCGUCACAAACCCGGCGGAAUCAACGGCGACGGAAAAGGAUCUUGGCCGCGACUUUCGAGCUCCAAUCGCCGACGUUCUGGCCAGUUUUCGGCGACGAGGACCACGGGGAUACGACGGUCAGCUUCCAAGCUUCAGAUCGGUACCAAGCACGGCCGGUAAGGUGGCCGGAAACGGGAGAACUCGUCGGGUCAAUAUCGCGGAAUCGGGUCGGGUUUUCAGGUUAACAGGUCCAGCUCUCUCUCUCUCUCUCUCUCUCUCUCCCUCUCUCUCGGGUAUUCUCUCUCAAAAAAAUACAAACCUGUUUCCCCCCUUUUCCAGUUAUACAAUUCUGCCCUUUUUUUUUUUUUUUAAGCUUAAUACAAAUUAAGCUCAAUUCGGACCCGUGAUGAAAAUAAAAUCCGGCCAUCGGCGCGUGUAAUUGCGCUCAAUUAUUCUCGAUAAAAUGUCGUGAUGAAAUUAAAAAAAGUUAAUAGCGAAGAGGAAAAUUAAAUCACUCACUUAAUUAAGAAAAUCGGAGUGCAUAUGUUACAGGAAUGCCGUAAGUUUUAAAAUAAUAGUUGUGCUGGAGAAUAAGCUAAACAUUUAAUAAAAUUUAAUUUUUGAAAGUGUUGUCAAUUUUAAAAGUAUUCAUAUGUAUUUAGUCAAUUUUAUUGUUGAAAUGCUAUAAAAAUAUAAAUGACUAAAAUAAGCAUAAUGCUAAAUAAAAUUUAUUUACACAUUUAUAAACAUGUAUAUAUAAAUUUUUUUAUUUUGAAUAUAUAAUGAUUGACAACUAAAAUAAUUUUUUAUUUGUUAUCUCAGUAUAAUUGGUAAAAGCAAUAAUCUUCUUUAAAUUUAAUACUUUUAUUUCCUAUUUAAAUAAACAUAAUUUUUUAUUUUUAUAAUCUAUGUGAGAAUAUAUCUGAAAUUGAAUUAGAUUUAAAUAUGUUUCUUGAAAUCAGACGUUAAAAUACUACUCAUUUCAUGCCUUGAGUUCUUGAAAACCCUUUUCACAAUCAUCAUUCCACUGGAACUUAGCAUUCUUUCUGGUUAACCUUGUCAGAGGAAUAACAAUCUUGGAGAAUCCUUCCACAAAUCUUCGAUAAUAGCCAGCUAAUCCAAGGAAACUUCGAACUUUAGUCACAUUUGUAGGCCGUUCCCAAUUUACAACUGCUUCGAUCUUUUGAGGAUCAACAUAAAUUCCUUCAGCUGAUAUCACAUGGCCUAGAAAUACUACUUUAUCCAACCAGAACUCACACUUGAUACUAGCUUGAUAACUAUUAUUAUAAGCAAACUCCAUCAAGGGUAAAUAAAUGUCCCAACUACCCCUAAACUCCAAAAUACAAGCUCGUAACAUAUCCUCCAGGGUUUGAAUAGUACGCUCUGACUGACCAUCAGUCUGUGGGUGAAAAACUGUACUGAAGUUCAACUUGGUGCCUAAAGCCUUUUGCAAACUUGUCCAGAACUUAGAAGUAAAUCGGGAAUCUCUAUCUGAAACAAUAGACACAGGUGCUCCGUGAAGUCGAACUAUCUCAGCCACAAAAAUAUUCCCCAACUUGUCCAUCGAAUAAGUGGUCUUGAAUUGUAAAAAGUGAGUAGAUUUGGUAAGUCGAUCAACAACUACCCAUACACUAUCAUGACCACUCUGAGUACGUGGAAGUCCCGUUACAAAAUCCAUGGUGAUGUGCUCCCAUUUCCACUCGGGGAUAGGAAGCGGCUGAGAAAACCCUGCAGGUCUCUGAUGUUCAGCCUUAAUCUGCUGACAAACUAAACACCGAGAUACAAAUUCAGCUAUCUCUCUCUUCAUACCUUGCCACCAGUAAUGAUCUCUCAAGGUACGGUACAUCUUCGUACUACCAGGAUGCAUAGCAUAAGCUGAACAAUGAGCUUCUUCCAUGAUCUCCUUUUUCAACUCCUUAAUGUCGGGUACGCAAAGUCGAUUAUCCAUAACUAAAACUCCAUCAUCUCUCACUGCAAAAUUAGUUCGUAAGCCUUUUUGCACAUCCUCUUUCAACUUCAGUAACUGCAAAUCCUGAUCUUGCAUCUGAUGAACUUUGUCAAUCAAAGUCGGCCUCACUCGAAAAUUAGCUAUUAAAGCUCUGCAAUUAUCAACUUCCAAUUCAACUCCCAAAGAUCUCAACUCAAUUAAUAACGGCAUGUAUGUCCCUCGCAAGUGAGCUAUAGAGCUAAAAGACUUCCUGCUUAGCGCAUCAGCUACCACAUUCGCUUUGCCCGGAUGAAAAUCAAUGGUACAAUCAUAGUCUUUAAUCAGCUCAAUCCAUCUCCUCUGUCUCAAAUUCAACUCCUUCUGAGUAAACAAAUACUUCAAGCUCUUGUGAUCAGUAAAAAUCUGACAUGUUGCUCCAUACAAGUAAUGCCUCCAUAUCUUGAGUGCAAACACCACUGCUGCUAGCUCUAAAUCAUGAGUUGGGUAAUUUUGUUCAUGCUUCUUAAGUUGUCUUGAAGCAUAAGCCACUACCUUCCCAUGUUGCAUUAGCACACAACCCAAUCCUUGCCUGGAUGCAUCACUGUAUACAACAAACCCUUCAGUACCCGAAGGAAGUGUAAGGACUGGUGCUGAAGUAAGACAUGUCUUGAGUUCUUGAAAACUCUUUUCACAAUCAUCAUUCCACUGGAACUUAGCAUUCUUUCUGGUUAACCUUGUCAGAGGAAUAACAAUCUUGGAGAAUCCUUCCACAAAUCUUCGAUAAUAGCCAGCUAAUCCAAGGAAACUUCGAACUUUAGUCACAUUUGUAGGCCGUUCCCAAUUUACAACUGCUUCGAUCUUUUGAGGAUCAACAUAAAUUCCUUCAGCUGAUAUCACAUGGCCUAGAAAUACUACUUUAUCCAACCAGAACUCACACUUGCUGAACUUAGCGUACAAUUGCUUUUGUCUUAAAGUCUGCAAAACAGUCCGCAAGUGCUCCUCAUGUUCCUCCUGACUUCGAGAAUACACCAAAAUAUCGUCGAUAAACACAAUCACAAAUCGAUCUAGAUAAGGGCGAAAUACCCUAUUCAUAAGGUCCAUGAAAGCCGCUGGGGCAUUAGUCAACCCAAAUGGCAUCACUAAAAACUCAUAAUGUCCAUAACGAGUUCUGAAUGCUGUUUUAGGAACAUCGGCCUCUUUAAUUCUAAGCUGAUGAUAUCCCGAGCGCAAAUCGAUCUUAGAAAACACCUUUGCUCCCUGAAGUUGAUCAAACAAGUCAUCGAUGCGCGGAAGUGGAUAUUUAUUACGCACUGUAACUUUAUUCAACUGCCUAUAGUCAAUGCAGAGUCUAAGAGUACCAUCCUUUUUCUUAACAAACAACACCGGAGCUCCCCACGGAGAUACACUAGGUCUAAUAAACUCUUUAUCCACCAAUUCUUGCAGUUGAAUCUUAAGUUCCUUUAAUUCAGCUGGAGCCAUCCUAUAUGGUGCUAUAGAUAUAGGAGCCGUCCCAGGGACUAAAUCAAUAGAGAACUCAAUCUCUCUAUGAGGUGGCAUCCCUGGAAGUUCAUCUGGAAAUACAUCUGAAAACUCUUGGACUACUGGAAUAUCCUCCAAUCUCAACUCCCGAACUCCAGUGGCUAUUACGUAUGCCAGAUAAGCUGAGCAACCUUUCCUUAGUAAGCGUCUUGCAUCAAUGGCCGAUAUGACACAUGAGGGUAAAAUUCUACGCUCACCACAAAAUUUCACCUCAGUUUCUCUUGGUUUGUUGAACACAACUUCCUUUUUAAAACAAUCCACUGUAGCAUGGUGAGACGCAAGCCAAUCCAUGCCCAAAAUGGCAUCAAAAUCUUGAAUGUCUAGAAUAAUCAAAUUCGCCUUAAAUUCAUGCUCGCCCAAUCGAAUCAUGCUAUCUUGAUACACCUUUUCAGCAAGUAAUGACCCUCCGGUAGGUGUACUAACAACUAAACCAUAAUCCAGCAAUUCAGGCUCUCUCUCUAGAUGCAUACUAAAUGUGCGAGAAACAAAAGAAUGCGUGGAUCCAGGAUCAAUAAGAAUAUGAGCAUCAUGACCAAAGAUAGAUAAUGUACCCAUAAUAACUUCUGGUGUAGCAUGAGCCUCCUGCUGUGUCAAGGCAAAAACUCGAGCCUGAGUACGAGGUCGACCAGGUUGACCUCUCUGACUUGGAAAAGUGGUCUGACUCCUCGAUAUAGAACCCCCUGUCUGCAUACCCCUCUGACCCGGAACUGGUCCAACAUGAGAUUGAUACUGUGGGGCUGCCCCUCGAGCAGAAUUGUCACCCUGAGAUAAAGUAGGGCAUAAUCUCUUAAUAUGUCCAGGUUGUCCACAUAAAUAACACACAUUGUCUCCGAUACGGCACUGGCCCUGAUGGUUCCUACCACACGUAGGGCAAGGAGUCUGUUGUAUACUCCUACGGGGUCCUUCGCUAUUCCUGUCAUACUGCCCCUGAGUCCUAACAUUACUCCCCACUGAAGGCUGCGCCGAACCUGGUUUAUUGAACACAACUUCCUUUUUAAAACAAUCCACUGUAGCAUGGUGAGACACAAGCCAAUCCAUGCCCAAAAUGGCAUCAAAAUCUUGAAUGUCUAGAAUAAUCAAAUUCGCCUUAAAUUCAUGCUCGCCCAAUCGAAUCAUGCUAUCUUGAUACACCUUUUCAGCAAGUAAUGACCCUCCGGUAGGUGUACUAACAACUAAACCAUAAUCCAGCAAUUCAGGCUCUCUCUCUAGAUGCAUACUAAAUGUGCGAGAAACAAAAGAAUGCGUGGAUCCAGGAUCAAUAAGAAUAUGAGCAUCAUGACCAAAGAUAGAUAAUGUACCCAUAAUAACUUCUGGUGUAGCAUGAGCCUCCUGCUGUGUCAAGGCAAAAACUCGAGCCUGAGUACGAGGUCGACCAGGUUGACCUCUCUGACUUGGAAAAGUGGUCCAGGUUGUCCACAUAAAUAACACACAUUGUCUCCGAUACGGCAUUGGCCCUGAUGGUUCCUACCACACGUAGGGCAAGGAGUCUGUUGUAUACUCCUACGGGGUCCUCCGCUAUUCCUGUCAUACUGCCCCUGAGUCCUAACAUUACUCCCCACUGAAGGCUGCGCCGAACUGUAACUAGCGGAUUGUCUCUGAUCUCCCCUGCUACUCAUACUCUGAUUCCUUUGCACACUAGCAGAGUAAUUUGUAUACGCGCCUCUCUUCGGCGGCCUGCUACUCGAGCCACCCUCUGUCCAACUCUGGCUACGUUUCUGCUUCAGAGCCUGAAUGAACUCAGUGUACCAUGAUGCCGUCACAGUCGUACGAAUCUCAAAUCGGAGACCCUCUUCAAAACGCUUACAUCUCUCCCUCUCAUCACCAACUGCUGAAAUGGCAAAUCUAGAAAGAUCCAAAAAUUUCUUCUCAUACUCUUCCACUGACAUAGCUCCUUGAACCAAUCGAAGGAAUUCACUCCGCUUAAUAUCCUGAUACACAACCGGAAAAUAAUGAUCGUAGAAUUCCUUACGAAAUAUAGCCCAUGUAAGCGCAGCAUGCCCUUGGUAUCUUCGCUCUACUGUUUGCCACCAAUGAUAAGCCCUAUCCUUGAGCAGAAAAGUGGCAAAUGAAAGUCUAUCCUCCUCUGAGCAUCUCAUCACAUCAAAAAUAUGUUCUAACUUGAUAAGCCACGACUCUGCCUCAGGUGGAUCACCAGAACCAUUAAAACUCUUUGCCCCUAAACUUCGAACACGCUCGACAGUGUUCACUUGACCGACAUGCGGCUGAGCCUGAUUCUGAACCACUGUAGUCACAAUCUAAGCUAAUCUAUCAAUGGACUGCUCAAUGUUCGGAGCAUUUCCUGGUGCCUGUUGCACAACCUCGUGCGUCGAAGACUCAACUAUUCCCUCGUCAACGGGAUCAUUUUCCCCCGCAGGUACAUCUCCUGAAGUCAACCCAGGUACUAACCUAGUACGGCCACGACCACGGCCACGGCCACGUCGACUGCUACGACGAAUCAUAAUGGUGCCUACAAAAUAUUAAAUCCGACUUUAAUAAUCAAAACUUAUUCUAUUUACGACCGUAAAGUCUACAGAAUCUAAAACCAUGCUCUGAUACCAACUGAAACGACCCGCCCCGCAACUCCCCAGGGCGAGUCUAUCUAAACUCGUAAAAUCGAAACUAUUCUAUAAAAAUUUCGGCAGAGUCUCCCUUAUAAAUAAAACAUAUCCAAUCCUGCAAAUUAUAAAGCAACACUCCCAAAUAAUUUAAUAUCCAACCAUCCUCUAUAACCAACUUCUCAAAUCAAUAUAUCAAACAUCAUCCAAAUCAUCCUCAUAUCAAAAUACAUCGAUUAUCCUUAAUAACAUAAAAUAAUAAAUAAACACAGCUCGCAAAAAUCUCAAAUAUAAUAAUAAUUAAAUCCACGACUCCUAGCACCAUCACGUGGCCACAAUAUCACACUAACGUUCGCUACUGGGUUGACUGAUGUACCUGUAAAUCUCCUGUAGGGGGGGAAAAUAUAAAAUAAUAAAAGAGGGGUGAGUAUAAAACUCAGUAAGCUCAGUGAGUGGAUAGUAGUUACUGACAAUUUAAUAAAUUUAUUUAAAAAUGAUUUAAUCUUUCUCAAAUCAAUUUCUCAAAUUGUUUCUCAAAUCAAUUUCAAUUUCUCAAAAUAUCAUAAGAACUUGCUCAAACUCAUUUAAUACAAAUCAGUUCAUUGAAACACUAUAAUACAUAUAUUUGUAUAAAAUCGAUGGAAUCAUAUAAUACUCAUCAUAUCAAAUACUGAAUACUAAAAACUGUCAUCAAACAAGUACCCAGGGAAUAAUCUGAUCAUAUCCGGACCUCGACGGACGGGCAAUGACGUACUAUCUGGGUAACGUCACUCCCCGGAGCUACAAUGGAUAGAUGGGGACGAUCUCAUCUCAUAUCUCAUAUCUCAUAUCUCUUAUCUCAUAUAUCUGUACUGUGCAUGCAUAAGCCCCCAAAAGGCAAAAGCGCCCGAACACACGGCCCAAAGCCUCUAUGUGUGUCCCGACGGGCCCCAAAGGCCUCUAUCUCAUCUUAUCUGUAUCUCUUGUCUGUAUCUCUUUUCUCAUCUCAUAUUAUCUGUUUCUCUGUAUCUGGAGGGAAGGGUACUGUCUAAUGAUUUCAAAAAUAACAUAUACAUAAACAUAGAAUCUCAUAUGAAAUCUCAUUUUCUUUCUAUUCAACAUAUCUCAAGUCUGCUCAAUUCUAAUAUCAUGCUUUUACUCAAAAACGCUAAUAAAAUCAUAAAUCGAACUCAUUCUCAAUCAUAAUAAAUAUCAACACAUAAAUAAAAGUCAAUUCGCUGGAAAAUCAUUAAAUCAACGCAUUAAACAUUUAUUUCUCAAACAUACUGUACUAUAUAAGAAAAUCAGCAUAUACUAUGAAAAUAGGUUUUGUAUAUUCCACUCACAGUGAUGAUGUCUAGACUCAGUAUCAACAACGUCCGCGGGUAGAUUCUCGUUCGCGGAUGCGGAUCCUCCUAAUCACGGAAAACACCAUAAUUAUUCUCCGUAAAAACCAAUUAAUAUAAUAAAUCUCGAAACAAAUAUCUAUUAACGAUAAACUAGUCCCGCAUGUAUAAAAUUACCAAAAUGCCCCUAUAGGCCAAAAUUACCAAAAUACCCCAACAUCAAUAUUUUACCAACUUAUCCUCAAACUUCAUGAUUUUACCAAAUUAUCCUCAUAUUCGUUAAUACCCAUAUUGUCCUCAAUUCAGAUUACAUAAAUUAAUCACAUUGUCCGAAAUUACGAAAUUACUGCUCUCACUCAAAAUUACCAAAAUGUCCACUGAUUACAUAAAAUUACAAAUUCACCCCAAAGUUUCAUGAAUUUACCGAAUUGCCCCUGCCGGUCAACGGUGACCGGACUUCAGUCAACGAUGACGGGGAGCUUAGGUCUGCUAGUUCCGGCCUCGAUGAAUCCAACGGUGGUGGCAGUGAGUCGCCACGCGCGCUACCGGCGGCGGAUCGAAGUUCCAAAGUUCCGCAAAUUUUCGGAGAUCAUUCGGCGAGUUCCGGGCGUCCCCGGCGGUCGUUGCUGGUCGGGAAAUGUUGCUGGGGAUGUGAGGAACCAGUUCCAAGUGGUGGCGCGUCACAACUCCGGCGGGAUCAACGGCAACGAAAACGGGUCGAAGCCGCGACUUUUCGAGCUCGAUCACCGGCGUUCUGGCCAGUUUCCGGCGACGAUAACAGCAGGGAUGCGCUCAAUUAUUCUCGAUAAAAUGUCGUGAUGAAAUUAAAAAAAGUUAAUAGCGAAGAGGAAAAUUAAAUCACUCACUUAAUUAAGAAAAUCGGAGUGCAUAUGUUACAGGAAUGCCGUAAGUUUUAAAAUAAUAGUUGUGCUGGAGAAUAAGCUAAACAUUUAAUAAAAUUUAAUUUUUGAAAGUGUUGUCAAUUUUAAAAGUAUUCAUAUGUAUUUAGUCAAUUUUAUUGUUGAAAUGCUAUAAAAAUAUAAAUGACUAAAAUAAGCAUAAUGCUAAAUAAAAUUUAUUUACACAUUUAUAAACAUGUAUAUAUAAAUUUUUUUAUUUUGAAUAUAUAAUGAUUGACAACUAAAAUAAUUUUUUAUUUGUUAUCUCAGUAUAAUUGGUAAAAGCAAUAAUCUUCUUUAAAUUUAAUACUUUUAUUUCCUAUUUAAAUAAACAUAAUUUUUUAUUUUUAUAAUCUAUGUGAGAAUAUAUCUGAAAUUGAAUUAGAUUUAAAUAUGUUUCUUGAAAUCAGACGUUAAAAUACUACUCAUUUCAUAUCUUACAAAAUUUGUUGUAAUCACUUUUGAUCUUCUCAAAAAUUAUCCGCCCUAAGUCAAUAAUUAGUCAACAUUAAUGCCAUUGUUAUUUCAUGUAAAUAUGGUAAGUAUCAUGGCCAUAAUGGGGCUAUUUGAACCUACUAGAUUACUAAUCAAACCCACCUUUUAAUAAAUAAAUUGUUACUAAAAUAUCCAUAACAUAAAUUACAAUUAUAGACAUGUGAUUAAUUAUAUAUAUAUAUAUAUAUAGGAUUGAGUUCUGGUCGAAAUCAAUUAUUAAGAAAAUUGAUACAAUUAUUAUGAUCGGGACGGCUUUAUCAAAUUUUAGUAGUCAAAUUUUAGAUAUUUGAAGUACGUGACUCGUUUACCGACAGUGCAGACCAGACUAAUGCCUAUUCAGGAUCGCCUCUGUAAUUUACGUGGUUGGAUUCCCGUCGAUAUACUCAAAUAUUUUUACCAGCUUUAAGUAUUAAAGUUCUUUAAGCAAGCCUAGCAACAACAUACAUCUAAAGGCUCAAAGAUAUCACUAGAUCUGGAUCCCAGAAAUAGCGAUCUGAUUGGAAUGAGGGAGAAAAGAAGAAUACAACUGAGGAUUGAGAUCUGGUCUCGUUGCCUCAAAGGAACGUAAUAGUUGUAAGGCAAAUCUGAUACAGAUCAGUCUGCAGAAAGUGCUUUAAAAUAAAUUGCGAAAAUUUAAAUGCGGAAAAUUAAAAUACAUAAAAUUAAACUUAUAAGCUUUGAAAAGAAAGAUUACAAUUCUUACAUGUGAAUUUCUUUGUACUGAUGUUUUUGAAAAUAUUAUAGAAGAGAUGGGAAAUUAAUCUGAAGACAAAGAACUAAUCUGUAAACAGAGAAAUUUCCUUGAUACCUUCGGAUUCCUGAUUCCCAGAGAGAGAGAGAAGUUGGAAAAAAAUUAUGAGUCUAAAUCUUUCUCCAGAUUAAAUACAAAAUGAGUUUUAAACUGUAGACUGUAGCGGCGCUGUAGCAUACAGUAAUCUUUGGAACUCUCUACUGUAGACUGUAGCGGUGCUAUAGCGAACAGUAAUCUUUGUAACAAAAUUAUACAGGCUUUUAAAAUACAAGUAUAAUACGGGUGAAGAGACAUGUGCACUCUCACUUGUGUCCAGGGGACCACCCGAAGAUACAUACAUAUACUCAAAAAGAAAAUACGAUUGGAAAUUACAAUGGAAAUGAAUAAUUACUCUUUUUUUUAUAUAAACGAUAAUUAUUUACAAUGCUUUAUUAGAGAGAGAAUAUUCCAAAACAAUCAUCUUCAUUCUCGUCUCCAAGGGAAAUAUAUGGCUCUUCAUCUUCAUCAUCGUCAUCAGAGGAAUCUGCUACUGAGGACUUUGAUCUUGAGGUGAGGAGCUGCUCCAUAACUUUGAAAUAUUCAUCUUCAGUUUUGGCACUGUCCAAAAGAGAUUGGGCUUUGGAUUUUUAGGUAAGAAAGGUUUGUUGGGCUUUGGAACCUUUUAUGGUUGGUGGUAGAAAGCCUUUGGAAUAAAGCCAGUUUCUGAUAAGGGUAUCAGUUAAUUUGGCAUGUUCAUCAAAUUUUGACCACCAUUUUAUUUUGAAGGUUCUUUGAAUAAUAAGUUGGGUUUCUUAGGUAUGAUAUCUGAAAUUCCACAUCCAUACCCAUGGUAGGAAGAAAUUUGUACAUAAACAAAGAAAAUAAGGAAAUCUUUUCUCUGAUUCAGAAGGGACAUAAUGGGCUUUGAAGAGGUUUAGACAAUGGGUUUCACUGAGAAAGAAAUGUUUCAAUUUUACAGACUCAGUGGCUUCUAAAAUGCUUUGGUAAUAAGACUGAGAUUUUGUCAAAUCCCAUGGUUUGAAAAACCAGCCUUUGGGAAAAAACUUUGAAAUAGCUUGAAAAGGAUCAGUGUGGUAAAAACCAUCUUCCAUAGUUAAAAUGUUUUGGAAAUGGGUUUUAUCAUACCAAUCGAAAGAUUUCUUUGAAGGUGUUGGUUGGGAAAGAACAAUUUGAGAAGAUGAACUUUCACCAGAGAGAACAACAAUUUGAGAAGAGGGUUUUGAAAUUUCUUUAGAAAUUUGUUUUUCUUUUUCAAUUUCUUCUUUUGGAGAAAUUUGGCUUUGAGAAAAACUUUGUAAACCGAGCAUAAGCUCAGGGGAUUUAGUAAUGGAUUUCAUCCAUUCAUUUACCUGCUCAUGCGAGGCAAGGGCUUUAGACUGGGCUUCUUGAUCUUCUAUCAUGUCGAUCCAAGACUUGAUUGGCAUGGCAGAAGAGAGUAGCUUUUCUUUAGGUGGAGAUGUUUGGGAGUCUUUGGAAAGUGUCUGGGGCAUAGGGUCUUUGAGGAUCCCCUUCCCUUUGUCUUUUCUUUUGGGCGGCAUUUAUCUGUUUUGAAGAAAUUCCCUGGUUAGAAAGUCAGGGAUGGAAUUUGUAUCUCCUUUGAUAAAUUCAAUAUCAAAAUAAAAAAUACUUAAAAUAGCUUGUCAUCGUGCAAAAAUUUGUUUAGAUGCAAUGUUUUGAACAUCCUUUUCUAAAACAUGUUUUGCAGCUUUGCAAUCAAUUCUAAGUAAAAACUUUUGAUUUAAUAAAUCACUUUGGAAUUUAGAGAUGCAUAAAACAAUUUUUUGCUUUAAUAUUCCUCCAUAACCUAUGUCAGAUGCAUCAGUUUCAACUAUUUUAGGUAAUGUAGGAUUAGCAAGAAAUAAACAUGGAAUGCUUUUUACAGAGGUUUUGAUGAGCUUGACAAGUUUGGUAUGUUCAUCAGUCCAUGCAACAGGAUUUUUCUUAAGUCUGUCAUGUAAAGGUUUGGACAUCUUAUUGAUAUUGGGACAGAAAUCAAGAAUAUAAUUUAGGCUUCCUAGAAAUCUCUAUAAUUGGGUUUUAUCUAGGAUUUUGUCUGGGAAUUUAUCUGCAAAGGCAAGAGAACGGUCAAUAGGAGUAAUGGUUCCUUUGGAAAUGUUAUGACCUAGGAACCUGAUCUUUGUUUGGAACAAAGAGACUUUAGAACUAGAAAUUACUAAACCAGCUUUUCUAGUGGCGAAAUAAAAAGUCUUUAAAUGUUUAAAAUGUUGAUCUAUCGUUUGAGAAAAAAUCAAUACAUCAUCUAUAUAAACAAUGCAAAAUUCGGAAAAAGGGUUAUAAAUGUCAUUCAUGAUUCUUUGAAAUUCCGAGGGUGCAUUUUUCAAAUCAAACGGCAUGACCGUCCAUUCGUAUUGUCCGAAUGGAACAGUAAAAGCGGUUUUAUAACAAUCAUUAGGGUGAAUUUGUAUUUGCCAAAAACCAGAUUUCAUGUCAAAUUUUGAAAAUAUGAAAGCAGAAUGCAGUUUUUGGAGCAAAUCUUUUUUAUUAGGUAUAGGGUACCUAAUCCAUUUUAAUGCUUUAUUAAGGGGUUUGUAGUUUAUGACCAGUCUUGGGGUGCCUCUUUCAAUUUCAGAAUUUUUAUUAACAUAAAAAGCGGCACAAGACCAUGGGGAUCUUGAUUUUGUAAUCAAACCUUUAGAUUCUAAGUCUUUUAUCUCAUUUCUACAAUGCUGUUCCAAUUCAAUGUUCAUUUGAAUAGGACGAGCUUUUGUGGGUAUUUGUCUUUCAUCGAAAGAAUUUUCAUAGGGUAGGUCAACCAAAUGUUGUUUUCUUUUCCAAAAAGCAGAUGGAAGAUCAGCACAAAUUUCAUUUUCGAUGAGAGUUUUAAAACCAGAUAUUUUUGCUUUUAUGAAUUCACUUUGUAGUUGGCUUUUGAUCCUUUGUAAACUCAAAUCCUUUUGUAAAAACAUUAGGUCGCUUUGUUUUUAUUUGAGAAGUGAAUUGAUUUGGUUUUGAUAAACAGGACAUGCUUUAACGAUGUUUAAAUUUCUUGUUUUGGGCUUUUCAAUAAAAGGAAAAAUAAAUUUGUUGGAUUUUGCUUUAAAUGAUAUACCAUCAUAACUGACUGUAUAGGGAGUUAUGAGGUUUAUAAAAGGGGUUCCUAAAAUGACAGCAUGGUGGAUAUCAUUUGUAAGAAUAAAAGAAGUUCUAAAUUCAAAACCAUCGUUAUGAAUUGAAGCUUCAACUUUAGAGUUAACUUUAAGCUUUGAAUUGUUGGCUGCAGAAAGUCUUUCAUUGGUUUUUUCAUGAAAUCUUUUUGGAACAAUAUCUUCUCUAAUGCAAUUUAAAUAAGCACCAGUGUCAAAAAGGGCAAUGGCGUCAAUUGCAAAAUCUUUGGAAAAUAUUAAAGUAAUUUUAAUCAAAUACUUUCUGGUGGUGAUUUGUUUUAAAACAAACAAAAAGUCAUUUGGUACAGACUUAAUGUUUUCAAGAUUUUGUUCGUUAUUACCAUCUGAUUCAACUUCCUUAUCUGAAUUAUCUUCUAACUGUUUUUGUAGUAGGAGUUGAAUAGUUUCAGAAUCACUCUUUUGUUUCUCUUUUAAUUCUUUAAUCUCAAGUUUGAUUUCUUUGAUUUCUUUCUGAAGGUCUUGGAUAUUGGGGGUUGUUUUCUUUGUUUUCUUUUUAUCCAAAAUUUGAGUGAGAUCAUAAGAAUUCUUUUUAAUAAUUGGAACUUUAGUAGUUUCAGUUUUAGUAGAGUCCAUGGUUUUUAAAAGUUUAUCAAGGUAUUCCUUUUGAAGGUUCGGAUAAGAAAUAUGUUUAACAAGUUCAAGAAAGAUCUCUUGGUCUUUAGUCAAAACAUUGAUUUUCUUUAAAAAAAUUCUGAUUCAGAAUCACUACUGCUAGAUGCAGAGGUAUCUGAGUCAAUUAACUCAUCGACCUGAAGAGGGUCACUAUCUCCAGACAUGGAAGACUCAGAGUCAGGGGACUCUAUAAGAAGAGAGGCAACUUUGGAGAGGGUUUCUUCAUCAAGGCCAAGCUCAUGAAGCUUCUUGUUCAUCCUGCAAUAUUUUGCAGUAUGGCCUUUUAUUCCACAUUUAUGACAUGUGGCUUCUUUGUAGUUAAAAGGGGUCUUUGGUUUGGUUUUAAAGUCUUUCUUUUUAGAGAAACUGGGUUUCUUAUAAGGCCUCGAAGGUUUCUUAUAAGAAAGUUCUCUAAAAUCUUGAAAGGGUUUCCUAUGGCUUUUAGAUCUGUAAUGUUUCUUGUAAGGUUUUGAAGAACACUUACCAUUACAAUCUUUUGAGGUAGAAGUUUUAAAGGGGUCAUAGUUGAAUUAUUUACAAAAACUGCCUAAUUCUUGCUUAGAUCUCUUAAGCUCCCAUUUAAGUCAUUUCUGCAAUUUCAAAUCUUGACAGAUCUUUAAACCUUCUUUGUUGACAAAACUGACAAGUUCACCAUAGGUGAGCUCAU
rnacentral:lncRNA from 1 species